ACAUUCGAAUUAUUAUUUUACUCUUGAAGUAUAUCUUCAUGCUCAAAGCUGUCUUUAACAGGGGAACUGAAGCCAAUACCUUCCCCACAUGAUGCGGUUUGCUCCAAAGCUGGAUACAAUCUGAGAGAGGAGGCGGGACAAAUCCAAGUAUGGAAAUGGCCUUCUUGACACCCUAAAUAGAGCACUGAAUUUCACAUAUAUCUGCCCACAAAUAGAAAUAUAGAUACGAUGAUUUAGGAUGACUCAGAGAUAAAUAUUUCCCCUAUAUCAGUAUCUUGAUUUUGCAAGGGAUGUGCUUUGUUAACAAAGUUUAUACUUUUCAGUUUUCAGUAUGUAUUAUUGUUAUCUGAAUUAACAUUCCAACCUUAAAGUGGAUGUUGAAGGCUCAAUUUGAUUCCCAGGUUUACAGGAGAAGAAACCAGACGAUGUUUCGUCAUAUGAAGUACUUAUCUAAAGACUUUUAAUUUCACUUUUACCUGAGGAAAACUUGCUAGCUCCAAAAGGUGGGCCAGUGCAAGACUGUCUUCUUCAUUUCUGCACAGGGUUGUUAAAAUGCGACAUGGGUUUUAACAAAACAAAUCACUAAAAACAAAUAGAAACCCCAAGUUUGUUUUGUUGACUUACUCUGGGGGUUUGCAAAAACCCAAAUGAUCAAGCAGUACAGUGGUUGAAGGGAACUCUGUACAAAGCUCUUUUAUCUCUUCAACAUGAAGGCUUAGCCCCUGAAAGGAUGUACUCUUGUCAUAUCUAAAUUACUGAUAGGAAGCCUAUUAGGGUACAUUUGAGACUACCUUCAUGCACAUGAAACCCACAGGAAUCCCAAGUUUUCCUGCUGUAGAGAAUAAUGCUUUCCCCACCUCAUUUGUCAUCUGCAAAUAUCAUUGCACGUGUUAGGAAAACAUAUUGAAGUGAAAGUCGGAAGUAGGGAGCAGAUCGGAGCAAUCCGGAUUCAAAAUAAUCACACAGCAACCUUUUGACCUGACGGCCAUAAGUACGGAUUAAAGCGAACAGCGGAGUAUCCAUCCUAUAAGGACAAAGAGAGUACAUCGAAAUCACUUUGCUGAGUUAGGAUAGGAGUAUGUGUUGUUUGUAGGAGACUAGACAAAAAGUCAAAACCUUUGUUACAAGAUGUUCGAGUUGCUGAAUUCCACUUCCAUCAUUGGCUGGAUUUGCUAGGCAACAACCAACGAAUUUGUUUGGAUAUUUAUUUAAUACACUGUCCAUAGAAGAUUUGGAAUGAAGAUGUACUUUGGGAUGUCACAUCAGUAUAGUUUCCUAAACCAUGAGAACAUUUAUUCCCAAAUAGAGAGACUAUCAGAUGAGUUUAAGAUUCUUUUAGUACGAUUUUAAAAUAGAUCACUAGAAGUAUCUUUUGGAGAAACAAGUACUAAGCACCAAAGUGGUUUUAGUUAUAUAUAGGAUUUUGAGAAAUGCAACUAAACAUGUGAACUCUAAAAGGUAGUCAAAAGCACUCUUCCUUACUCCGAAGGAAAAUCUAGUUUUAAAGUGUUUUUCUUUAUUCCAAAGUAAAAUGAGCAAGAUUGAGAUGAUUUUGGAGAAGUUAUGAAACUGCUUCUUUUAUGAUCAUUCUUAGAAACCAAUAUAUUUAUGUCUGGAAGUAAAUGCAUUCACCAAAUUAGAUUAACGUCACAAACUAUUUGGAUUCAUGCUUAGACACUUCUAAAUGUAAUGCGCAAGCUUAACCUAAUUGAAAUAGAAACAUUAUUUUUGCAUCAUGGUUCAAGGCAUGUGGCAUAUCCUGAACAUCUAACAUGCUUAUGAUAAAUAGCUCUCAGGACUGACCUGGUCACAUAAGAGUGAUCAAAUUUGUGGUUGAUUGGCUGGACAAUAAGUGCACCAUCUACUCCUGCUUCUUCCAUAGACUGAUAGGGGAGAGUAAAUGUUAGCGUUUGUUUUUAAAUAUAGCUUCCUUAUGGUAAACCAAAAAAAUGGAACACUGCCAAACUAACAAACUAUUGAUAUUCGAAAAUGGUGAUUACUUCAUAUGGGGUCAGGAAUAAAUCUUGGAAUUUAACAUUGAGUUGGACUAACUGAAAGUAUGGACUGCAGUUACCCUAAAUUGGACCACCGUCGUGUUCAUCAUCAUUGUCAUAGAUAUAUAUCAUUUAAGUGGCUCACGGAAACUACCUUCUUCACAACUCCACAAUAGGCAUAACAUAAUUUUAUCCGUUCAGUCGAAACCCUUUUGAUAUUACUUUUAGUUUUACCCAGAAGGGCCUCAUAUGAAAUGCUAUUAUUUGCUUAUAUAUCGCUAACUCCCCUUACAUCUACGACUACGUUUGCAUUACAGAAGAUGGGUCAAAGCCUAAAUUAGAGAAUUAAAUUGAAGGGAGAUACCUGAAGCAAGAAAUCAACAUGCCCAGUCAAGGUGGGUUCUUGGCCAGGAAAGUAAGGGUAUUUUGCAGCAGCCUUGAGAACGAUGAGUGAGUCAGGAUUUGAUGCUUAUACAACAAAGAUUGGAGGGAUUUUGACAAUAUUAUACACAAAAGAAUGAAUGAUCUAAUUUUACCUCUUCAGGAGAUGCCCAGACAUGGAGAUGUGAAUCGAUAACUUUGCCGUAAGAAGAAGAAGAAGAAGCCAUUCUGAGUUUGAAAUUUGGGUUGGUGUUGAUGGAUUGAGAUGCAAAUAUUGCUGCAGAAGAUGGGAAUGCCAAUGAGGGGAAAUGAAGAGAGGGAAGAGAAGAUGGGAGUGAAAGAAGUUUGAGCCUCGCCACCACUGCCAUUUGAGAUAAUGGUUACGGUAAGGGUGUAGUAGGGCGCAUGCCACGCGUGGUUCUUUUAAGAGUUCUUUGGUAAGGACAUGCUUUCACCCAAUCCAUUUAGUUCAUAUUAUUAAUCUAAUUGGCCACUUACAUUUUUAUUUUUGGUAAGAUUCCUACUUGAUUAGUAUUUAGUAACUAAAUGUUAAAUGAAGUUCCCAUUUGUAUAGAGUUGUUGAUGCCACCUUAGGAGAGUUAUUGAGCAUUUUUUGGGGCUUUAGGAGUGAGUUGAGGUGAGCCAUCUCUUUGGGCUUUAGGGGUGAAGCUGGACACUGUUUUUGAGUUUGGAAGGCUUAAGUGUUAGUUUGGUUGUAUUUUUGGAGGUUUAGGGUUAGGCACUUUGAGUCCACUUUAGGUGUCAAUAGAGGUUUCUAUUUUAUUGAGCAUCUAACAGAGGUUCGAAAACGUCUUUCUUUGAUAAUCUUAUUUGAAAAUUUCUUGUGAUUGUUAGAUGUAGACUACCACUUUUCUUACAUCAAAUUGGUUAUUUAAGCGCUUAUAAAGUCAAUCCGAACAUACAAUAUGUCUAUUUCUUCUCGAUUUUUUACCAUGAUUUUUGUUUGGUGUAAGUAAAAGAGUUGAGUUCUAAACUAAAUUUAAAAAAAAUAAACAAUUACUUAUUUAUUUUCAAAACGAUGGUUGGUUUGUUCGAUAUGUGUAUUUGAAAAUGUCUAAAAAAAAUUAUCAAACACAAAAUAACUCUUUGCAAGGACUCAACAUUUAAGUUUGUACGUUUUAAGUAUGAAUGAAGUAUAUGAUCCAAGUCAUGAUGAUGCAUGACAAUUUAAAUGAAGACAGUAGAAGAGUUGUAACUCAAACUUUUUGGUUGAUGACUACCAGUCAAGUGGCCUACAACCUACACACGACAUGUCUCGAUUCACAAUAUAGAAUCCAUGACCUACCACUCUCAAAGUUUUAGGUAAAAUUUGACCACCCUUUCAUCAAUACCCCACUUCUAGGCUACAUUAUUAACAAAUAUAUUGGUGACUCGUUUUGUUAUUUUCAACAACACACAUCUUCAUCCCUAACACUUGAAAGGGUUAAAAGUAUUUAUUGCAUUUUGAUAUAUAUACUUGCUCAACAAUUCAUACAAAAUUGAAAUCAAAUUAAUAGUUAAUAUUUGAACUAUAUAUCAAAACACUGCUACAACUUUAAUUAAGAGGUUAAAACUCAACUAAAAAGAAUGCAUCCAACCCAACAUUAUUAUACCUAAUGAAGAGAGCACUACCACUCUCUUUUCUAGCUUCAAAUAUCAACUCUAGUUUUUCUAAAUAGAUAUCAUGGUCCGAUAUAUAUAUUUUUAAUCGUAUUUAAAAAAAAAUCAAUUUAAGAUUUGAAAACUAAAAGAAGAUAGUUUUUAAAAAACUUAUUUUUAUUUUUAAAAUUCGUUUAAAUAUGCAAGUUCUCUGUAAGAAAAUAAAAUGACAUAGCUUAUUUCUCAAAUAGUUAGUAAGGCCUAAAUUAACAUUUGAUUGAAGUUGAAUAUAAAUAUAAUAAAAAGAUUAAUUGGGAAUCUAAAAUUUGGUUAAAAUAUUUAAAAAGGUAAAAUCAUAAACGUGAAGGUUAAAAAGAGUUUGUAUAGAAAGGUUAAAACGAGAAUUAAUAAAGAAAAUGGAAAGAUAUUAAUUGGAGAAAAUGAAAAAAAAAAUGAAAAAAGAGAUGGAGAUGGUUGGGGGGAAGAAGAGGAAGAGAAAGAAAAAGAAGGGCUGAUAAGAUGAUGCCACGUGUACAAAGAAAUUGCGUUGCUAUGAACAAAGCAACCAACCAAGAUUUGGGAAAGCGACCCAACCAACAUAACCAUCUCUUCUCUCUCCCUUUCCCCUUUUUACCAAAUUUCAAUCCAUUUUUUCACUUCCCCUUCUUCCUUCCCACUUCCUAUCUAUCAUUCAACCCAUCCACAAUUCCACGCUUCUCUCCUCUAUUCUUCUCAUCCUUAUAUAAUAUCAUCAUUAUUACUUAACCUACAUUAAGGUAUACCUUAUAUGUAUAUAUAUAAAAGACUAAACACGUGCUUUGACAUUUAAAUUGAUGUCACAUGCUAACGUUAUGUUUUUUUUAUUCAUGUGAAAAGAUGGUUUUUUAAAUUUGUUGAUUUUUUAUUAGGGAAGUUCUUACAUCAUUCCUUUUAAGUCAAGGCCAUAUUUGCGUUUGAACAAUAAUAAGAUUUAUGUGCAUUAAACUAAAAGGUGAGAGUAUUUACAUUCAUUAUCAUUGUACAAGUUAGAAUCUAACUGAAGCAAAUAUUUGAUCAUCAAGCAAAUGUCUCAAUAUCAACAACCAUUGAUUUGAAACUCUGCUGUAUUACUGAAGGAUGAUUCUAAUAUUUACAUCAACUCCCUCUUCCA
rnacentral:lncRNA from 1 species